CACGUAGGGGGCAAGCGUUGUCCGGAUUCAUUGGGCGUAAAGAGCUCGUAGGCGGUUCGAUAAGUCGGGUGUGAAACCUCCAGGCUCAACCUGGAGACGCCACCCGAUACUGUCGUGACUAGAGUCCAGUAGGGGAGCGUGGAAUUCCUGGUGUAGCGGUGAAAUGCGCAGAUAUCAUGAGGAACACCAGUGGCGAAGGCGGCGCUCUGGGCUGGCACUGACGCUGAGGAGCGAAAGCGUGGGGAGCGAACAGG
rnacentral:rRNA from 1 species